UAUCCUACAGUAUAGAGUGGGACAUCAGUGAAGGCGACUUCAAUGAUGAUCAGACGGAACUAGACGAAAGAUCAUCCAUGGAUAAUGGAAACCCUCAAGAGAUGAUUUUAAAUUAAUUUUUAUCGCUGAGUUUUUUUUUAUAUUUAACAUCAAGUAACAAGCAGUAAAAGAAAGUGGUUGAACGGCUCUGUAAAGCGAUACUGGAUGUAUUUAGUAAAAGAUGUAUUUUAUAUGUGUUGUAAUAAAUUUGAAAAUAGAAAAA